UAUCAACCUCUUUCUUUCCCUCCAGGACACCAAGUUCCUACAUGUCUCAUCUGGACACCAUGGGUCAGACCUUCCAAGAGACAACAAAAAUCACUGAAACCUCAUGACAGCAAGCAAGGAGGAAGGAUCCUGAAGACCCAUGAUGGCCCCUUUCAGCAGGAAGUAGAUACAGAGAAUGAAUUCUGCCCCAUCUACCAAAAGAUUUCUGGGUCCCAACUCCUUGAGGAAAAAAAUGUGAUGAAGGCAUUUAUUGUUCUGACCCUACCGUUUCUAUCCUAUGAAAAGGACCAGCUGAUCAAGGAGCUGCAGCAGCAUGUGAAGUUAGUGACAGCCCCACACAAGUACCUGACAAAGGUAAGGUGGGGCAGAUGGAAGGGAUCAGUUCCCCAAUACUCCUGCCACAUCUCUGCUAGGGUGGCCAUGCAGGAGGAAGCUUAGGCAGUCACAGUAGUGGCUUUUUUUUUCUGCGUAAGAAGCAGUUUGGCUGAGGGAUGCGGUGUAAUCUUAAGAAUAUAUUUAAGCUGACAAUUGGAAAAUGACCUAUUGAAAUCAAAGAGGCUUAUUGAUAAAUCCUAAUUUAGUUGAUUACAACAAAUAUUUCUUAAGCACUUUCUAUAUGCUGGUAAUUAUAAGGGUGUUUAAGAUAAAUCUAGUAUAAAUGCUGAACUCAGAGUGAGAAUAAAAAAUGACAAAUACAGGACAACACAUGCAACAUUAUAAACACAUGUAAUGUUCUGAAAUAACACAGAGGAGGGUAUAAUUAACUCUGCAAGUGUCAGGAGGAGGUUCAAAGAAGAGAGCAUAGAGAGUAGGGAUUUUCAAGAAGGAAAAGAAUAGAGGGGAUGUUGUGGAAAGAGGAAGAACCUCUCAAAACAAGAAAGCAGGGCUGGGCAUGGGGGCUCACACCUGUAAUCCCAACACUGUGAGAGGCUGAGGCAGGACCAUCACUUGAGCCCAGGAAUUCAAGACCAGACUGAGUAACAUGGCGAGAACCCUGUUUCUAUUUAAAUAAGUUUAAUAUUUUUAAAAAAGACAACAGAGUAAACAAGAAGCACUGAGGCAUGAGACAACAUGGCAUGCAAAAGACAGUAGAGUAGAACUAGUAACAUAAUUUCUAAUAUCUCCAACUGAUAAAAGUAGCAUGCAGCCCCUAAAACUGACAUUAGAAAGUGAAUUUAGUGACUUCAGUCUUUGGUGAAAAUUCCUAGUAUAUAAAAUGAAACUGAUGAGAAAAGCCCUUGGUUCCCAUGCUGGGGGAAUAGGGAACUGGUGAAGGGCUCAAUAUCAGAGGAUCUGUAAUUUGAAGAAAUCACUCUGUUGGUAACCUGGAGGUUGAAUUUGAGUAGAAUGAGACUGGAGGCAGGAGGAAGGCAGUAGCAGUGGAGGUGAAGGAAAAAUAUAAAUAGAACUUGGCCACUAAUUAGAAAAGGUGAGAGGAGGGAACAAAGAGAGGGAAACGUGGGAUCAUGACCAGAUUUCAGGAUGGAACAUGGAACAGGACAAAUGGCAGAAGCAUCCAAUAUUGAAAAUACAGUCACAGGGGCCUACUUUAGUGGAGGGAGGUGAUAGUGUAUUCUAGGACAGGAUGGGCUUGAGAUUUCUUGACAUAUCUGUGUGGAAAAGUCUUGGAAGCAUGAAGAUAUACCAGAGCUCAGCGAGGGCAAGAAGACAGUGAGUGUGGAGUCAUCAGCUUGCAGGUGAUGGCUGAAGCCAUUCUCCCACUUCAGGAGAGAAGCACCUGAGCAAAGAGCUGAGACUCCUGGAGAACAGCAACAUUCUCAAGUGAGCUAAAAGAAUUCAGAGGAGGGCCAGAGAAAAAAUUAAAUGGAAGAAUGUGCUGUGAAGAUAGCACUGUGAUUCAGGCUUGAUCUUUGGAGGCCAGCUGCCUUAAU
rnacentral:lncRNA from 1 species